CCUACGGUGGCUGCAGUGGGGAAUAUUGCACAAUGGGCGCAAGCCUGAUGCAGCCAUGCCGCGUGUGUGAAGAAGGCCUUCGGGUUGUAAGGCACUUUCAGCGGGGAGGAAGGCGGUGAGGUUAAUAACCUCAUCGAUUGACGUUACCCGCAGAAGAAGCACCGGCUAACUCCGUGCCAGCAGCCGCGGUAAUACGGAGGGUGCAAGCGUUAAUCGGAAUUACUGGGCGUAAAGCGCACGCAGGCGGUCUGUCAAGUCGGAUGUGAAAUCCCCGGGCUCAACCUGGGAACUGCAUUCGAAACUGGCAGGCUAGAGUCUUGUAGAGGGGGGUAGAAUUCCAGGUGUAGCGGUGAAAUGCGUAGAGAUCUGGAGGAAUACCGGUGGCGAAGGCGGCCCCCUGGACAAAGACUGACGCUCAGGUGCGAAAGCGUGGGGAGCAAACAGGAUUAGAUACCCCGGUAGUC
rnacentral:rRNA from 1 species